UACAGAGGUCUCAAGCGUUGUUCGGAUUCAUUGGGCGUAAAGGGUGCGUAGGCGGCGCGGUAAGUCGGGUGUGAAAAUCUCGGAGCUUAACUCCGAAACUGCACUCGAUACUGCUUUGCUAGAGGACUGGAGAGGAGAUUGGAAUUCACGGUGUAGCAGUGAAAUGCGUAGAGAUCGUGAGGAAGACCAGUGGCGAAGGCGGAUCUCUGGACAGUUCCUGACGCUGAGGC
rnacentral:rRNA from 1 species